rnacentral:rRNA from 1 species
GAUGAACGCUGGCGGCGUGCCUAAUACAUGCAAGUCGAGCGAACGGACGAGAAGCUUGCUUCUCUGCUGUUAGCGGCGGACGGGCGAGUAACACGUGGAUCACCUACCUAUAAGACUGGGAUAACUUCGGGAAACCGGAGCUACUACCGGAUCAUAUUUUGAACCGCAUGGUUCAAAAGUGAAAGACGGUCUUGCUGUCACUUAUAGCUGGAUCCGCGCUGCAUUAGCUAGUUGGUAAGGUAACGGCUUACCAAGGCAACGAUGCAUAGCCGACCUGAGAGGGUGAUCGGCCACACUGGAACUGAGACACGGUCCAGACUCCUACGGGAGGCAGCAGUAGGGAAUCUUCCGCAAUGGGCGAAAGCCUGACGGAGCAACGCCGCGUGAGUGAUGAAGGUCUUCGGAUCGUAAAACUCUGUUAUUAGGGAAGAACAUAUGUGUAAGUAACUGUGCACAUCUUGACGGUACCUAAUCAGAAAGCCACGGCUAACUACGUG